GGGCCAUCGGCAGCUACACAUGCAGUCGAGGGGUAGGGGGUGCUUGCACCCCUGAGACCGGCGCACGGGUGCGGAACGCGUAUGGAACCUGCCCCUGUCAGGGGAAUAGCCCAGGGAAACUUGGAUUAAUGCCCCAUGGUAUCAUUACAUCGCAUGAUGUUGUGAUUAAAGAUUUAUCGGACAGGGAUGGCCAUGCGUACCAUUAGCUUGAUGGUGGGGUAACGGCCCACCAUGGCAACGAUGGUUAGGGGCCCUGAGAGGGGGAUCCCCCACACUGGUACUGAGACACGGACCAGACUCCUACGGGAGGCAGCAGUGAGGAAUAUUGGACAAUGGUCGGAAGACUGAUCCAGCCAUGCCGCGUGCAGGAUGACGGCCCUAUGGGUUGUAAACUGCUUUUAUACGGGAAGAAACCCACCUACGUGUAGGUGGCUGACGGUACCGUAAGAAUAAGGACCGGCUAACUCCGUGCCAGCAGCCGCGGUAAUACGGAGGGUCCGAGCGUUAUCCGGAAUCAUUGGGUUUAAAGGGUCCGUAGGCGGGCCUGUAAGUCAGGGGUGAAAGUUUGUGGCUCAACCAUAAAAUUGCCUUUGAUACUGCAGGUCUUGAGUCAUGGUGGGGUUGCCGGAACAUGUGGUGUAGCGGUGAAAUGCAUAGAUAUCACAUAGAACACCGAUCGCGAAGGCAGGUGACCAACCAUGUACUGACGC
rnacentral:rRNA from 1 species